rnacentral:tRNA from 1 species
GCCCAGCUAGCUCAGUCGGUAGAGCAUGAGACUCUUAAUCUCAGGGUAUUGGGUUCGAGCCCCACAUUGAGCA